rnacentral:rRNA from 1 species
AGCGCCCCGCAAGGGGAGCGGCAGACGGGAGAGUAACACGUGGGAACGUACCCUUCGGUUCGGAACAACCCAGGGAAACUUGGGCUAAUACCGGAUACGUCCGUAAGGAGAAAGAUUCAUCGCCGAAGGAUCGGCCCGCGUCUGAUUAGCUAGUUGGUGGGGUAACGGCUCACCAAGGCGACGAUCAGUAGCUGGUCUGAGAGGAUGAUCAGCCUCACUGGGACUGAGACACGGCCCAGACUCCUACGGGAGGCAGCAGUGGGGAAUAUUGGACAAUGGGCGCAAGCCUGAUCCAGCCAUGCCGCGUGGGUGAUGAAGGCCCUAGGGUUGUAAAGCCCUUUCGGCGGGGAAGAUAAUGACGGUACCCGCAGAAGAAGCCCCGGCUAACUUCGUGCCAGCAGCCGCGGUAAUACGAAGGGGGCUAGCGUUGCUCGGAAUCACUGGGCGUAAAGCGCACGUAGGCGGAUUGUUAAGUCAGGGGUGAAAUCCUGGAGCUCAACUCCAGAACUGCCUUUGAUACUGGCGAUCUUGAGUCCGGGAGAGGUGAGUGGAACUGCGAGUGUAGAGGUGAAAUUCGUAGAUAUUCGCAAGAACACCAGUGGCGAA